CGUUUCAUUUUAAUCUACACACUUACACUUUUCACGCAUGCCAAUACAAAACUUAAAGGACAUAUAUCUUUAGUUUUAAUUUGUAUUUAUAAAAAUUAUAAAAAGUACAUAUUAAUAAAAUACAUGUUAUGAUGAAUCUAAUAAGAUCCUACAUUACUAUAUUUUCAUCCACAUAUAAAUCACAAAUGAUGGUUAAAGUAAACUAUCAAAGUCUGUGAAUUAAAAUGAAACAGAGAGAGUAUUAUUAUAGCAAUGAAAAAUCAAUGAUUUUACUAGCUCAUCUAUAUUAUAUAUGGCGAUAGGAGUGGAAUACCAAAAUAUAAAAAGAGGAAAAGAAAGAGAUAUAAUUAUCUAAUUAAUUAAAAAAAUAAAAAAAUAAAAAGACACAACAAAAUACUUUUUUUUUUUAGGAGAGACACAACAAAAUACUAGUACUACUCCUAUAGUCCUAUUACAUUUAAACAAAAUCCUAAAACCAACAAAUUAAACAAAAAAAUAAUUCCCAUUUCCCCUUUCAAAAAAAAUCUUCUAGUUUGUAGAAGUCUUAGACACCCUUGCUUAAUUAUAACGGCUAGUUGUCUUCAUCACAAACUAAUCAAAGUAUCCCCCAACAAUGGCGAUACAAAGUUCAUUUUUUUAAAAAAUAAAAUUUCUCUAGUUUCUCUUAUUGAUUGGAUUCCCUCAUGCCUCAAAUUGACUCGAAAACUCUUCAACAAUGGCGUCGGAAAACCCUAAACCCCCAAUUUCAACUUCAAUGCCGACAAAUCCUCGACGAUCUCGACCUAGGGUUGGUGAAAUCACUCUCUACGACGACCCAUCACCGAUUAUCGUCCUCCACUUCGCGUUACGCUGACGAAAACUAGCAUGAUUUGCUCCGGUGUGGCCGAGAAUGAUCCAGAAACGUGCAUAAUCAUUGUCUUCAAUGGAGAUAAAUGCUAACUUGAACUGAAGAUGGUUUGAACUUGUAUGAUUCUGGACAUCGAUUUGAACAUUUCCAUCUUUUGCUGGUUCUCUUAAAUCACUUCGCUAUGCUUCUACAGCAUUGCAAAGUCGAGCAUUGCAGUCAUCCAUCAUUGCAGCUGCCUUACUCAAAUGGAAGAAUGGCCUAAGUGGCUUUUGGAGGUUCUCAUUUCAAAUUAUGAGGAUCGACUGUGAACCAGCCUGUGAAGAGAUGGGGGGACAAAAAGGAAAGAUCAUCAGGCUGCAGCCAGCUAAUUGUAUGUCAAUAUGUCAUCUUAGACACCCUCAAUAAUUAAAAAAAAUAUUAAGCUUGAAAGGUACAGAUUAGCCACCACGUUGAGACAACUUCAUAUCAGAAGUAGGUAAGCUGAACAUGUAAGAAAAGCCUCCACCUUAAUCAUUUCGUAUACACAAUAUAUUGAACAUGCGUAGCCCAAAAGAUUCUGCAUAUGGCCUUUC